rnacentral:rRNA from 1 species
CGCGUAGGUGGUUUUGUAAGUUGGAGGUGAAAUCCCCGGGCUCAACCUGGGAACUGCCUCCAAAACUGCAUGACUAGAGUACGGUAGAGGGUAGUGGAAUUUCCUGUGUAGCGGUGAAAUGCGUAGAUAUAGGAAGGAACACCAGUGGCGAAGGCGACUACCUGGACUGAUACUGACACUGAGGUGCGAAAGCGUGGGGAGGCAAAACA